UAGUUUUUUUAGAAAUAAAUUUAAUUUACGAAUUUUUAAUUUUUAAUUUAUUUAAUAAAUUUAAAAAUUUAUUAAUUUGAAUAUUUAAAGGGAUAAGCUUUUGAGUAGAUUAUUAAAAAUGUAAAAUAAUUGAUUAAAAAUGUAUGCAUAGAAUUAGCAAUCAUUAAAAAUUUUGUUAUAAAUUAUUUUAUAAUUUAUAUUAUUUACUUAUAUUUUAAUUAAUUUAUAAAAAUAUUUUUAUUAAUUUUUAAUGAGAAGAAAUAAUGGUUAAAUUAGUAUAUUAUUAAUAUUGUUUAAAUAUUUUUAUUUGGAAAGUUUAUGUAAAGAACUCGGCAAUUUUUUUUUAAAAAAUUAUACUCGCCUGUUUAACAAAAACAUGUCUUUUUGAGGUAUAUAUAAAGUCUAGCCUGCCCACUGAAUAGAUUUAAAUGGCCGCAGUAUUUUGACUGUGCAAAGGUAGCAUAANCAUUAGUCUUUUAAUUGAAGGCUGGAAUGAAUGGUUGGACGAAGUAUAAUCUGUUUCAUAUAAAUUUAUUAUAGAAUUUUAUAUUUUAGUUAAAAAGCUAAAAUUUUAUUAAAAGACGAGAAGACCCUAUAAAUCUUUUAUAUUUGGUGUUAUUUAAAUUUUUUAGAUUAUUUAGAUUUUUAUAAUAUUAAAUAUUUUGUUGGGGUGAUAUUAAAAUUUAAUAAACUUUUAAUUAUUAAAAAUCAUUAAUUUAUGAUUGAUUGAUCCAUUAGUAUUGAUUAUAAGAUUAAGUUACUUUAGGGAUAACAGCGUAAUUUUUUUUGAGAGUUCCUAUCGACAAAAAAGUUUGCGACCUCGAUGUUGGAUUAAGGUAUAAUUUUAGGUGUAGCUGCUUAAACAUUAAGUCUGUUCGACUUUUA
rnacentral:rRNA from 1 species